rnacentral:rRNA from 1 species
GAUGAACGCUGGCGGCGUGCCUAAUACAUGCAAGUCGAGCGAACGGACGAGAAGCUUGCUUCUGUGAUGUUAGCGGCGGACGGGUGAUUAAUACGUGGAUAACCUAUCUAGGAGAAUGGGAUAACGUCGGGAAACCUGAUCUAAUAUCGGAUAAUAGUGUGAAACGCAUGGUUCAAAAGUGAAAGACGGUCUUGCUGUCACUUAUAGAUGGAACCGCGCUGCAUUAGCUAGUUGGUAAGGUAACGGCUUACCAAGGCAACGAUGCAUAGCCGACCUGAGAGGGUGAUCGGCCACACUGGAACUGAGACACGGUCCAGACUCCUACGGGAGGCAGCAGUAGGGAAUCUUCCGCAAUGGGCGAAAGCCUGACGGAGCAACGCCGCGUGAGUGAUGAAGGUCUUCGGAUCGUAAAACUCUGUUAUUAGGGACGAACAUAUGUGUAAGUAACUGUGCACAUCUUGACGGUACCUACUCAGAAAGCCACGGCUAACUACGCG